rnacentral:lncRNA from 1 species
AAAUGGGCAAUCUACAAAUUGAAUUAUCAGCUCCUAGUUAAGCAGAUGUUGACUUUUAUUAAAACUGCCUAAGCAAGACCUGAAGCACCUCGGAGCUCCGACCCCCAAGUUCUCCUCCACAGCCACGGCCUGCGUUGCACCCCGGCUCACCUUUUCGUCCCACCCACCACCACCCCCCCUCGCCGUUCAGUGCUGUCCUGGGCGCUUGCAACCUGCCGGGUGAUUUAGCAGACUGCCCCCUGCUCCUGCUCUGGUUCCUGCUCCUGCUCCUGCUCCUGCUCCUGCUCCUGCUCCUCCUCCUCCUCCUCCUCCCAGCUCUCGCUCUCGCCUCCUCCUCCAGUCGGGGCGCCCAGACUUCGCGGAGCGCAGCGCCCGCCGCCCGCAGCGCGCAGGACCGCCCAGGCCGCCGCGCUCCAGGCUCCUGCUGGCCGCAGCCCGGGGGCACCGGCGCGGGCAAAGGACGCUCGGGGGCCAGAGCCAGACGCUGCGAGAAGCCGGGCUGUGAUAAGGCUCGGGACAGAAGCGAGCGCGUUCCGAGUGAGACUUCGGGAGCCAGCGGGGCGCCCCGGGUCACCCAGUGCGCCCGCUGCACGCACCGUCCACAAGGACAAGAUACUGAACCCAGUAUGUGACUUUGGUGUUCCAUUUGCAAUUGGUCUGCACCUGGAAAGUCAUGAUUUCUGCACACUCUAUCAUGGUGCCUCUCAAAUCACCUGGAAAUCAGGUUAAACCUUAUGUUCGUGGUCCCACCUCAAAGUUAUUAAUCAUCAUGGUGGGAUGAGGCCAAGAAUUUAAACUUCUCACAAAAAUCCCACGUGAUAGUGAUGCUGCUCAUAAGCAAACAACACUUUGUAUAGUGGGAGAUCUAUGGGAGUGAGCAAGACCACAAAACUAAAUGUUUUUGUUACAGCUAAAGUAACAUAAAAAUAUGUGAAGGAACUUACUCUCAAAGAACUACAGACCUGAUGAGAAACAUGUAAUCUUUAAACAAGGAAACAUGUUGCUGUCAUGUUGCAGAUAUUUUUUUUCUUUUUUUAUUGAAGUUCAAUUUGCCAACAUAUAGAUGUUGCAAGUAUUUUAUUACUACAGUCCUCUUUAUGGGAGAGGCAAACUGCCUUUAUAAAAAUGAGCAAGAAUAUCACAUCAACGAGACAAUGGCCAUCUCAAAGGAUACCAAAAGUUUACAAAAUUCAAUACAGAGUCAUAAUUUUUUAAAAACUGGUAAACCAGUAAACUAAAAAUAGAGAUAAAUUUCUAAGUUAACAAGAAAUAGAAAGGAACUGUUUUUCACACUAAGAACAUCUUUCUCAAACAAUAGCCAACAUCAUGCUUAUUGGUAAAACACUAUACGGAUAAGACAAGGAUGCCUGCUAAUAGCACCACUAUUUAACACUCCUCUGAAUGUUCCAAUCAAUACACUAGAAAGAAGGAAAAGAAAAGAAUUGAUGUAAAUUUAUAAUACUAGUCAUG